CCUACGGGAGGCAGCAGUGAGGAAUAUUGGUCAAUGGGCGGAAGCCUGAACCAGCCAAGUAGCGUGCAGGAUGACGGCCCUACGGGUUGUACACUGCUUUUAUACGGGAAUAAAACAGGGUAUGCAUACCCUCUUGUAUGUACCAUAUGAAUAAGGAUCGGCUAACUCCGUGCCAGCAGCCGCGGUAAUACGGAGGAUCCGAGCGUUAUCCGGAUUUAUUGGGUUUAAAGGGAGCGUAGGUGGAUUGUUAAGUCAGUUGUGAAAGUUUGCGGCUCAACCGUAAAAUUGCAGUUGAAACUGGCAGUCUUGAGGACAGUAGAGGUGGGCGGAAUUCGUGGUGUAGCGGUGAAAUGCUUAGAUAUCACGAAGAACUCCGAUUGCGAAGGCAGCUCACUGGACUGCAACUGACACUGAUGCUCGAAAGUGUGGGGAUCAAACAGGAUUAGAUACCCGAGUAGUC
rnacentral:rRNA from 1 species